GGGGAUAUAGCUCAGCAUCACAGUGUCUGCUUGGCAAGUGCAAGGUCAUGAGUUCAAUUCUCAGUACCCCCC
rnacentral:tRNA from 1 species